ACGGGAGGCAGCAGUGGGGGAUAUUGCACAAUGGAGGAAACUCUGAUGCAGCGACGCCGCGUGAGGGAAGACGGUUUUCGGAUUGUAAACCUCUGUCUUCAGGGACGAAAUGAAUGACGGUACCUGAGGAGGAAGCUCCGGCUAACUACGUGCCAGCAGCCGCGGUAAUACGUAGGGAGCAAGCGUUGUCCGGAAUUACUGGGUGUAAAGGGAGCGUAGGCGGGAAUGCAAGUUGAAUGUCAAAUCUACCGGCUUAACUGGUAGCCGCGUUCAAAACUGCGUUUCUUGAGUGAAGUAGAGGCAGGCGGAAUUCCUAGUGUAGCGGUGAAAUGCGUAGAUAUUAGGAGGAACACCAGUGGCGAAGGCGGCCUGCUGGGCUUUUACUGACGCUGAGGCUCGAAAGUGUGGGUAGCAAACAGGAUUAGAUACCCUGGUA
rnacentral:rRNA from 2 species